AUAAUCGAAAAUACGAAACUUUCUUUAUAAAACAAUUUUUUUAGAGUGUGACACAAAACUAACUUUUGAUUUGUAAUUCACUAUGAAACUCUGCAUUCUGUAUGUAACAUACAGUGAGUUUCAUAAUAUUGGGUUUUUACGUUCGACAAAAACGCCCAUAUUGCACAUAUUAGAAACUAAAACAAGAAACAAACAAAACAUUAUUCCAGUAGUCAAGAAAAAAAAGUAGACAAGAAAACUUCAACAACUUCAAAAACUAGUACUAUUUUUUAGAUCCUGGACGGAAGAGAUUGAGGGUUUGCGCACAUGGCGACCCAAUUCAUUCCACAUAUAUUUGGUGCGGUUCACGCGUGGUGAUUUCUGGAGGAUGGUGAGGCAGUUAUGUAAGAGCCAUCGUUGAAUUAAUGGGGAAUUACGCUUGAGGUUGUUAUAUUGUUGGAAUUUGAAUGUUUCUAAAACACCAAGUAUGUGGACAUAUUUACAUUCCUGUUAUAAAGCCUAUAUAACAAGCCAAGCGGACUAAACAGUACAUAAUUAGUGCGGCAAUGAGAUAUUCCCAAGGGAAUAUAGUGUCGUGAAGACCUAUUCGCAACAUUGAUGUCGACUAAGUUAAAUAGGUAAAAAGAGGAAACAAUUUAACAAUAAUCCCGAUAAUUUCCCCUCUCUUAUGCAGGGACGAUAUUAGGUUAGGUUUGUUGUCAUAUGGCAGAAGAAUUCUAGCAAGCUCUCAUGGCACAUUGCGUAAGGCGCAAAGAAAAAAAUUUCUCUGCAAAGACUAAUCGAUCGGUGUGACAUUGACAAUAAGGCGCCCAAACAUCGUCGUUAAAUUCUUUAAUUCAUCUCUUAACAAAACCCAAACUGACUUAGCCAUGUGAAUGGACCAUUCAACAGGGUUGAACUUGAGUCUGCAAUCAAAUAACACGCCUAAAUGUUUAAAGCAAGACGCAUUCUCCAGAGCAUAAUUACUUAUAGAAUAACAAAUAGGCACUGAGAAUGACAUUUUUUUGCAUUUGCUUAAAUUACAUGACAUAAUGUUGGCAGCACAUCAAUAAUUCAAAGAUAAUCGAUCAGAUUGUCGCCCAUCAAUGUCAACCAUUUGAAGUAAAAAUUUUCACAUCAUCCGCAAACAUAAGAAUUUUAGAAAACUAGACAUAAGAGGGGAGAUCAUUAAUAUACACAAUAAAUAAGAUAGGGCCCAAAUGACUCACUUGAGGAAUAGCAGAAUAGAAUUGUAAUAGAUUUCAAAAAAUGAAAUAAUUGACGAUAAAUUUCCACUUUCAAACAUGGAUUCAAUAAUAGACAAACUAUAAUUUCGCAACUGUAGAUUUGGCCUCAUCAAAUACGAAUCAGAGAACAAUUACAUGGAUUGCACGAAUUUAUUAGAACGCCAUUCGGAUUAAAACAUGCGCCAGCAACAUUCCAAGGCAAUCUGAUGGGAGUUUAUUAAUAAGACAUGUGUAGUAUACCUUGACGAUAUUUUGAACUUUAGUAAAUCGCUCCAAGAACAUGUGAGAGCAAUAAGAGACAUAUUCACAGUACCUGAACAAACAAAUUUGAAAAUUCAAAUCGACAAAUGUAAAUUUAUGAAAAAAGGGACGUAAUUUUGAGAAAUCUUUUAAGAAAUGUAACUUUAUGAAAAAAAAAGAAACGAAGAAUCCUAUUAAAUUGAAAUUUUCACGCAAUGAAACACCAAAACAACAAAAGAUGAAGCAAUAAAUUCGGACACAUAUUAUUAAAGAAUUCCACCUUUUGACAGUAAUAGAUAAUCUACCUAUAUUUGGAGCAGCUCAACUACUAAAUGAUACCAUUUACCAUUAAUUGAACAACUAGAAGAUCUUGCUAAAGCUAACAGUCAUACAGGGAACUCUACAAUAGCUGAACAAUUCAAAUCAAUGAAUGAAACUUAGAAAGAUGUGCCUAUAAAGCAGUUAAUAUAGGAAACAAUUAGAAACUACAAUGAUUGAUAUUAUUCUAUUAUUAAAUGUACUCCGAACGAUGCUCAAAGGGAAAAGUAGGUGGAAGUAAAAUUAAAAAAGAAUCUAAAAGAAGAUGAAAAGAAAAUAAUAGAUACGUUGAAUAAGAGCAGAGAAGACUAUCCGUAGGAAUUACAAGAAGAAUAUAUAAGAACUUAUAAGCUUCUUGGAAGAACGAUCGAAAUAUAAAAGGACAAUAUUAGAAAAAGUACAUCCUUGUAACAUUAAACGACUGUAAUCCAUUAAUUAGAACUGUGGCUACACAUUGUUCCGUCUGGGUAGCCCACCUACAUUUACAAAAUAAAUUAUAAAUAAUUUAAACCUACCGGGAUCACAAGUGGCGUGACGUCACUUUACAUGCCUACGGUCCGUCCGUAUUGUUCUCCUCUCUGUUAGUCUGCGUCUAUGCAUUUGUCGGCCCAUUAACUCAUCGCCCGUGAUAUAAACCACACGCACCCAUCCUUACGAAACCUUUCCAUAUCCUACUCAGAGAGUAUUUUUCAAGUUGUUUUUAUAUUUUUACGUUACACUAUAAUAAAUGAUAUUAUUUUUGCAUUAAGAAAAAAAUUCAAAACUUAUUACGAGUGGAUAUGGAUUAGUUUUUAAUCAUAAAAUUAUACAUAAUAUAAAAAAAGAGAAAUAAAAAGAAAUAUAAACAAAUUAACUUACCUUUUCGUAGAAGAAAACAAGAUAACACGUUCAAUGUCUCCUCCUCUUUCUCCUUUCAUUUGGCAUUUGAGUAUGUUUUAACUUCUUUCGUAUUAGGCAUACCGUUUACAAAUUUCUACAUAUAUAUACUUGCUGUUCCUUGUAUGGCUACAUUUUCCGUUGGUUUUGCUUGGGAUGCUUAAAACC